CAACAGGGAUUGCCUCAGUAACGGCGAGUGAAGCGGCAACAGCUCAAAUUUGAAAUCUGGCCCCUCAUCAGGGCCCGAGUUGUAAUUUGCAGAGGAUGCUUCGGGCGCGGCCGCGGCGUAAGUCCCCUGGAACGGGGCGUCAUAGAGGGUGAGAAUCCCGUCUUGAGUCGCUGGACCCGUGCCCGUGUGAAGCUCCUUCGACGAGUCGAGUUGUUUGGGAAUGCAGCUCUAAAUGGGUGGUAAAUUUCAUCUAAAGCUAAAUACCGGCUGGAGACCGAUAGCGCACAAGUAGAGUGAUCGAAAGGUUAAAAGCACCUUGAAAAGGGAGUUAAAUAGCACGUGAAAUUGUUGAAAGGGAAGCGCUUGCGACCAGACUCGGCCGCAGGGGCUCAGCGGGCACGUGUGCCCGUGCGCUCCCCUGUGGUCGGGCCAGCAUCGGUUCUGGCGGUCGGUCAAAGGCCCCUGGAAUGUGUCGUCCUUCGGGACGUCUUAUAGCCAGGGGUGCAAUGCGGCCUGCCGGGACCGAGGAACGCGCUUCGGCACGGAUGCUGGCGUAAUGGUCGUAAGCGACCCGUCUUGAAACACGGACCAAGGAGUCUAACAUCCACGCGAGUGUUCGGGUGUCAAACCCGUGCGCGCAGUGAAAGCGAACGGAGGUGAGAUCCCCCUUGCGGGGCGCAUCAUCGACCGAUCCUGAAGUCUUCGGAUGGAUUUGAGUAGGAGCGUGGCUGUUGGGACCCGAAAGAUGGUGAACUAUGCCUGAAUAGGGUGAAGCCAGAGGAAACUCUGGUGGAGGCUCGCAGCGGUUCUGACGUGCAAAUCGAUCGUCAAAUUUGGGUAUAGGGGCGAAAGACUAAUCGAC
rnacentral:sRNA from 2 species